CUGCAUGAGGAGGUGGACUCGGGCACGGUACGGUUGGGCUUGUGAUCGCGCCUAUGCAAAGAUUCUAGAGCACAGCAGCUCAACCGUGCCUGGGUACAGUUUGAUAGUAUGCAGUGUGAAUGCGGACCAAGAACGGGAGAGAACCGUACUCCGGCACGGUACAAGUGAACUGUGCCCAGUGUGAGUGCGCCCUAAUAAGAGAGAGCCUUGGAGUGCUCUGAAGAGCGACUA